rnacentral:rRNA from 1 species
UACGAAGGGUGCUAGCGUUGUUCGGAAUUACUGGGCGUAAAGCGUACGUAGGCGGCUUGAUAAGUCGAUUGUGAAAGCCCCAAGCUCAACUUGGGAACUGCAAUCGAUACUGUCUGGCUAGAGUUUAGUGGGGGAUGGUGGAAUUUCUAGUGUAGGGGUGAAAUCCGUAGAUAUUAGGAGGAAUACCAGUGGCGAAGGCGACCAGCUACGCUAAUACUGACGCUAAGGUACGAAAGCGAGGGGAGCAAACAGG